rnacentral:rRNA from 1 species
GUCCAGGGCGUACACACGUGCUACAAUGGGUGGGAACAAAGGGUUGGCGAGUCGGUGACGGCGAGCUAAUCUCUUAAAGACCAAUCUCAGUUCGGAUUGUAGGCUGCAACUCGCCUACAUGAAGUCGGAAUCGCUAGUAAUCGCGGAUCAGCACGCCGCGAUGAAUACGUUCCCGGGCCUU